GUCUCUUCAGAUACAUCCGCUAAACUUGGAAAAACAGAGAAGAUUAGCAUCGCCACUGCAAAAGGAUGACAUGCACAUUUGAGAAAAUACAGUCUAUUUA
rnacentral:snRNA from 1 species